UCUUUAUUGGUUUCAAAGUAACUUCCUCCUUUGUUUCUUCUUCCUUAGGAAGCCGUUUAACUGGUUUUAGAGUCACCUCUUCAGGUUUCUCUUCUUCUGGUUUAUCCAAUCUCUUGAAAGGUUUCAAUUUUACUUCUGGUUUCUCUUCUUCCGGUUUCUCUUUCUUUAUUGGUUUCAAAGCAACCUCUUCCUUCGUUUCUUCUUCCUUGGGAAGACGUUUGACAGGUUUUAACGUGAUCUC